GGGAGUGUCUGCCUGGGUGGGAGGGAAGGGGAGAUGCUCUGAAGCAAUUUGGGUUAUUCUCUAGGCGACUAUUCCUAGGACAGCUCUGGGCACCAGGACAAUGCGGAGAUGGUGUCCCAGAACCGGUCUAGCCACAGUGUAAUUUGCCAGAGGAAAUGAGCUCAGGCCCAGUGGAGCGGGGCAGCUGGCAGGUGGGGAACAAGGAUCCCUUUCUGAGAGGCUGAAAGUGAAAAUUACAAGUUUCCUGCAUGUGGAAAACUGCAGCGGAGGCACAAAGUGGUGUAGAAAAACAACAGCUCCCAUGACAGCUCCAGGGAGGAAGGGUGUGUGAAAUUACAGCAAAUCAUACAGGCUCCCAAACCAGCAGCCCAGGACGCAGCACACUCACACAUGGCCAUCAGGCCAGCUCUCUGUCGUGUCUGUACAGCACCAAGCGCAACAGGGCCCAUCCGCAGGGCUGCCUCAUUAAAAGGGUUGGACAAAUA